UAAUGAUAUAUUUUUCAGGUCUUGUUCAAGGAUGGGCUGCCAUAAUCAUGGGAAUUUUAUCUGGUAGUGUUCCAUGGUUUACCAUGAUGAUUGUUCACAAAAGAUGGACACUACUGCAAAAAAUUGAUGACACACUAGGAGUGUUUCACACUCAUGCUGUUGCUGGCCUUCUAGGGGGUGUUCUAACAGGCCUCUUUGCAGAACCUGAGCUAUGUGCUCUAUUUUUGCCGGUGACAAAGUCAAGGGGAGGUGUCUAUGGUGGUUCCGGUGGAAUCCAAAUACUCAAACAACUAGUUGGCGGUGCUUUCAUUAUUGGAUGGAACGUUGUCGUUACAUCAAUUAUCUGUGUAGUGAUAAACUUUGUGAUACCAUUGAGAAUGUCUGAGGAACAAUUGCUUAUUGGGGAUGAUGCUGUGCAUGGUGAGGAGGCUUAUGCAUUGUGGGGCGAUGGAGAAAAAUAUGAUGUAACCAAGCAUGGGGAUAUCACAGAACAUCACAUGGAAACGAGGACAUCAACUGGUGCUACUCAAGUGAUGUAGAGAAGGGGAUCCAGAAAUCAAAUUAAUUGUUUUUCGAUGAUUAAUUUGCUUCAAAAAUGUUUGAGGUAAAUUAAGACCAGGUACUUAAUGUAUUUCUUAUUCUUUAGACUUGUAUAAAGAAUUUAUAUUGAGACUUGUUUACAUUAAAUUUGUGUUCAUUCAAUUUUUUUUUUAUCACAAAGCCUAUUUUUAAUAUUUUUAACAAGGUUAUUAAACUCGGUUCGGCUUAGGACCUAAUCUGAGGUUUAAAUCAUGAGUCAAGGGGAUUAAUCUAGCUUAGAGCAACAUAAUUUUUUAUUUUUUUAAAGUCAAACGAGUUUUAACUGGGUCAAUCAGUUAAGGGGGUUACAAGUGGAUUAGAUCACACUUGUUAAAAUUAAAUCGAAUUAUGGUUUCAACAUAAACAUUUUAAAAGUAUAAUUCGACAUUCAUACAAUGCGUUUCAUUGUGAAAAAAAAAAACUUAAUGAAGAUCAGAUCAUGGGUUAACUUCCACCAAUUAUAAUUUAAAACUUAACCCAGAAUAGGGAUUUGAUAGGCGAGUAAAUUUGAUAGGCGAGUAAAUGAGUUGAUCUGUUGGUUAUAUCAUGUUUAAUAACAAUAAUAUGUCCUAUUUAAACACCAAAUUAAUUGAAAUCAAACUAUGGUUUCAACAUAAAAAAUUUAAAAAUAUAAUUAGAUAUUCGUACAUUGUGUUUCGUUGUGAUUAUGAUUAUAAAAAAAACAACUUAAUAAGAAUCAAAUCUCAAAUUACAAGAGGACUAGAUCACAUAAUUCAACUUCCACCCUUAUAAAUUCAGUAAAUUGAUUUAUUGGUUGUACCAAGACUAUUUAAGUACUAAAUUAAUUGAAAUCAAACUAUGGUUUCAAACAUAAACAUUUUAAAAGUAUAGUUUGACAUUUAUACAAUGCGUUUUAUAAUGAUGAAAAAACUUUAUGGAAGAUUAUACAUGUUAACUUUAUCUCAGUCUGGUCUGGUCUAGAGAUCUGAUAGGUGGGUCAACAAGUUGACUUGUUGAAUAAAUUGGUUUUAAUAACCAUGGUAUUUACUAUUUAAAUACCAAAUUAAAGAGGGAAAGGCCAAGAGGAAUACGUACGAGGUAAAUUUUGCAAAGUCUGAUACUAAUCUCUUAGCCUUAAAAACAUCGAAUGCAAACUUUUGCACUUAACCAGGGGAUAGUAACAAUGUUAUGAAACUUUUGUUGAAUAUUUUAGAAUUAUUAUAUUAUACUAUCAUAUAUCAAUAAUGCUUAAGAAUGUAGGUUGAGUGGUAAUUUCAAUAGAGUUUUUUCCCAGACUAACACAGUGGAAAAAAAAUCUCAAAUCAGCAUAGUAAUUAAUACGUGCAGUAAUAUAUGCGAAGUGUUUGUCUAUUUACUAGUUGUACAACUAUCGAAUUUUAUUUUUUUUCUCCUUCAAAUCCAUAUUUCCCAACAAUAAUAUUAGCGUAUAUUAGAUUGAUGGCCUGCAUGAUAUCACACAGCGGACUAAAAAAAAAUUUAAUCCAAAAAUAAUUUCAAACAAAAUUAUAUUAUUAAAGAAAUAAAAGAAACUCGAUAAGUAGGAAUUAAAUCUUUAUUAAUUUAAUAAUAUAAUAAAAAAAUAAGACGACAAUAAGAAAUACAUUAAAAAAUAUAUUGUCUUCGGUAAAGUUAAGCUAACACAUGAAACCCGCAACCUAAAAUAUGAGAUUGGAAUAACCAUAUAGAAAUAUGAUACCAUCCAAAAUCUAUUGUAAAAAAACCCCUUAAAGUCUAGCUCAUUCGCUCGCGUUAUGUCAUAUGUCAGAGUAAAUAUUUUUGUUUUUUAAAAUGCAAAAACAAAGUUUAGGUAUUGUUAAUGUGCUUCUUAGAAAAAAAAAAUUUAAGAUGAAUUUAAAUCAAUUGUAAAGUGAACAAUAUUUUUAUCUAAUAUUAAGACAGAAACAUAUUAGAUCUACCCAGGUUGAUAUGCAAAACUUGUGGGAAUAAUCUUGUAAAAAAUAAAUUGAAAAGCUAAAUCUUUAAUUAACUCAAUGUCCAAGGACAAAACUGGUAAAAAACAACACUCAAUUCUAAAAAUAUCAUGCGAAUUCAGGCGAACCAAUCAGACUUGCGAUGCAAGUCAACCACGCAUUUGGAUUUAGUAUUUUUUUUAUUCUAAAGAUUAUUUUUCAUUUAAUAGAUGUAUAUGACAAUAAAGUGUUUGUCAACCUUUUUCAUGAAAUAUGUUUUCUUUUUAAGGAAAACAAUCAUGAAGGGCGUGUAGGACUAAGAAAGCAAAGACAAAUCAUUGACGACAAAAGAUAAAAUUUUAUUUUUAAAAUUUUUAAUUUAAAUAAAAAAUAGGUUAUCAAUAAGAAAGGGAGGAAUUGUAUUUUUAAAUAUUAAGGGACAAAAAAAAUGCAUAAAAAAGAGAAAACAAUAAUAACCUAGAUGAUGUGGUUUAACCCAUCGAAGUUGUAAUUCAAGUCAUAGACUUUAAUUGGGUUCAAGAAUUUUGUUUUUUUAUAAAUUUGUAUCUAACCUAAAUAUAUUUUUUAAAAAAAAAGAGUUGAAAAGGAGAGCAUAGUAGUGCGACCUAAUGGCCCAACACCCUGGGGCUUUAAAAGAAAAGGCCUAGGCAUGUAGGCAUUCAAGCCUAGACUCAUUAUUUUUGUAUUUUAAAAAAAUAAAUGACUUGUUAUCUGCUUUUAUUUUCUUUUGAAAAAAAAUAGACAAAUGACACGUCACUCUAUGUUGCAAACGGUCUGUCAUCUGCCAACCCAGAUUUCACCCACCACUAUAGUGACUAGAAAAUCAGAGCUAGGUUAAAAAACUUGUUUUUCAACCCAUUUCAUCGAAAAAAAAUCUUACAAACACACUUAGAAUAUCACCAAUCUAUCAACCUAAUAAACCCAGAAAAUGAUCCAAACCACAAAUCAAACAGAAGAAAAUAUCACAUCCUCGAUUUAGAUAUGAUUUUCAGGCUUUAUGGAUGCUUAAAACAAUCACCAUAAUACUCUUACCAUCUAGUGGAACUCAUUGACACCAAUUUUAAUAAUUUAGGUGGUCAGAAAAAGGUGUCAACAAUAAACUCUCUCUACAUCGGAAUCCAGUGAGCUCUCUCUCUUCUAACAAAAAAAAAAGGUAAAAUAAAGUUAGAAAGAUCAUUAUUAAGUUAAAAAGAAUGAGAAUUGAUGAAAAUAAAAUUUGGUAACAAAUUUGAAUUUAGAAAAAUCUAAGGGACUGAUCAACUAUUAAGUUAAAAAAUAAGGGACUAAACUAAAUUUUUGAAUGAAAUUAGAAUAUAUCACCUGUUUCGCUUGUGUUUUUCACAUUAAUUCUUUAUUUAUCAAUUUCACCAUCUCAUAAAAAAAAAAUUGAUUGACUGUUAAUUUGGAUUAAAAAAGAUUCAAUUGUGUAAAAUAAAAAAUUAAGGAUCAAAAUAAAAAAAUUUAAAAAUUAUUAUUUCAAUUGAUAGUGAUUUAUCAUAAAAUAAACAGUAAAUAAAUAUACAAUAAAAUCACUAUUUCUCUUAAUAUUUUUUCAAUAUGUGAUAAAGUUUAUAUUCUACAUAGAAAACACAUUAUGCUUGGUAGAGGUUAAGAGGGUGCUAAAUUUUACAAGAGUAAACUUUUAUUUAUUUAUUUAUUAGCAGAUGAAUUAUUAAUAGGGGUAAUCAUUACCCCCAUAAAUUAGUGUUUUUUUAUAAGAUAAUCGUGACCCUCCAAGCAACGUUACUGUUUUUUUUUUAUCUCAAAAUAUACACCAAUUAAUUUUUAAUUUUCUCUCACAAAUUAUUACUAGUGUUAUUAUUAUUAUUAAUUUUUUCUAUUUCCACUAACUUUUAAUCCUUCAAUAUAUAAACACAUCAAGACAAGAUACAUUGCCUAUGGCUACUUAACAGAAAAGGACUAAAUUGAUACUUUUGGAAACUAUGGAUCAAACAUUAAGAAAUAUCAUAGGGAUUGAAGUGAUACUUUUGGAAACUAUGUAUUUUUUUAGUAAAUUUCUAGAUCAAUUAAUUUAUCUCAGUUUGUAAAUAUAUCAAUCUUUCAUUUUCAUUUUCAUUUUCAUUUUGGUAAAGAUUGUUAUUUGUCAUGGUUUUUUUUAAGUAUAUACAUGCUAAUUUUCUAUUUCUUUUUAUUUAUAGGAUGAAUUAAAACGAGGAGAUAUUUCCAAAUCAAUUCAAUGUUAUAUGCAUGAAGCGGAAGUAUCUGAAGAAAAAGCUCGUGAACAUAUAAAAAGUUUAAUUGGAAAUACAUGGAAGAAAAUAAAUGAUUAUCAAUUUGCUAAUCCCCGUAUCUCCCAAACUUUCAUUGGAAUUGCAAUGAACCUUACACGAAUGGCGCAAUGCAUGUAUCAAUAUGGAGAUGGACAUGGUGUUGGACAUCUCGAGACUAAGGAUAGGGUGAAAUCCUUACUUAUAAAGCCUUUAUAAUCUCAUCAAAAUAAAGGACUAGUUUGAUAUAAAAAAAUUCAUAAGAUUGAUCUAUAUGUUUUAUCAGACUAAGUUGAAGAAACAUGUAUUUUUAUUCUAGCUUAAAUAUCAAUAUGUAAUAAAGGACUAUAUAUUUCUCUUUUAUUUGGAAGAUUAGUCAAUUAUAGCUUGAUUAUAUACUAGAUAUCAAUAUGUAAUUAAGAUCUAAAUAUUACCUUGUUCUUUAUAUAAAUUUGUUCUAUUUGUCCAAGAAAAUUAUAAUUCUUUACAAGUAUUCUUAAUAUGAUAUUAGAUUAGAGAAUAUAUACUCGACAAAAACCCUAGAAUCACUUUAUGCAAACAAUUUUUUUUCUUCUUCAUUCCUACCAAUGGAACUCACUGACCCACAAGAAACCAUAUAAGACUUGACUAUUUUGAUUACCUAAAGUUUACACCAAACUCAUGAAUAUUUUGUUGUCUGGAUUGAUUGGUAUCAAUUAUGCCAUAUAGGCCUAAAUUGUUGAGAUGUAUAUCUUUGAUAAAGACAAACUAGGAUAUAUCAAUUGGAACUUUUUCAAAUAGAAUGAAUAGACCCUAAUAACAGAAAGUGGAGGAGUUAAAACUAUGAUAUCAAAGGCUAGCUAAUCAAUUUAAUGGAACCAAUUUUGAUUGGAAAUUUCAAUUGGUUUCCUAUGGCAAUAUCAGUAUAGGAUAUAAUGACAACAACAUAGUUGGAUGGAACAAAUACCUCUCAACUAUAUGAAGUGAAAAAAUAAAUGACCUAAUUAAAAUAAGAUGGUAGGAUCUGAAAGGCAUACUAUAAUAGUUCAAUAAGAUUAUGGAGGGAGAUUGAUUUUAGAAGACCUAGUCCUAUGAUUGGUGAUCAUGAUAUCAAAAAUUCAACUCAAUUUGGUAAAAGAACAUAAAUUAUACCUUUUUAAAUAGGCUAGAUGAUCAACCAGACAAAAUUAAAGCAGAUGUUAUUAAAAUGAAGUCACUUUUCAUGGUGGAACAACUAUUUUCCAUGGCAUGGAAGACUCUCAGUAAUCUGUGAUGCUCAGGAGUGUCUAUAGGGAGAUGAUGAUAUGGGAAAAAUUCAUCAAUCAGCCACUAUGACACCAGGACAACGAGAGGCAACUGAAACUAUUUUAUUUAGCCCUGAAAACAAUAGCAAUAUGUAAUUAAGGCUCAAAUGUUCUAUUUUAUUUAUAAGAUUAUUCAACUAUAGCUUGAUUCUAGCUUAGAUGUCAGUAUGUAAUUAAGGUUUACAUACUACCUUAUAUUCUAUAUAAAUAAAAUAAAAUAAAAAACUAAAACAAAAGGAUGAUUUACUAUAGCCUCCCUCAUAUUUUCUUAUUCGCCACCACAGUGCGGUGGCUUUUUUGUCAUUCACAAGAAAAAAAAAAUUUCCUUUAAACAAGGGGCAUUUUUAUCUUUGCAUACGAUUCAUUAGGUAUUAUAAAUUUUUUUUGGGGGUAUUUUAUCUAUUCAAUAUAUUUAUGAACAAUUAAAGAACCUAGGUGCCCCUAAGAUAAAAAAAAAAUAAAUAAAAAAGACUAAAAUUAUAGGGUAAGGGUAUUGGUGUCGUUUUCUUUUUAAGCAUACAGUGAGAUUAUAUAUAUAACCUUAGGGACAAAAAAAUUUAAGUCAUUAAAAUAGGAGUAUUGACAUCUUUUUCUCUCGUUUUUUUUUUAAUUAUUGGUUUGGUAGAGGGUAGUAACAUAAUUUAAUAUUUAAUUUAUAAUUUUAAAAUGUAAAGAGAUAUUAGGGUGUGGGAGACGUAACGUAUUUUGAACGGCACGUGUGGCAUCUUCUAGUGCUGGAAAAUGAGCUUUAAAAGUCUCAUUUGGCUCUCCUCCAUGUCCUUUUUUCUUUAUUGGUGGCACAUUUCUGCUAAAGGUGGUCAGUUUAUAAUCAUUGACCCUUUCUUUUUUUCCUUUCAUUUCUCUCUUCUAUCUCAAAAAAUUAACUCUUGUUCUUUUUUUGUGUUUCCAAUUCAUGCCCUUUUUUCUUUAUUGAUGGCACGUGUCUGCUAAAGGUGGUCAGUUUGUAACUAAUGGCCCUUUCUUUCUUUCUUUUUUCCCUUCAUUUCUCUCUUCUACCUCAGAAAAUUAACUCUUGUUCUUUUUUUGUAUUUCAAAUUCAGCCCUUUGAGUUUUAAUUGUUUUUCAUUUUUUCUUGUGUUAAAGUUUUAUUUAUUUUCAAUUUAAUUCUUCAAUUCUAAUUUGUAUAUAUAAUAUUUUCAAUCUGACCCUUCAACUCUUGAUUAUUUUUCCUUUGCUCUUUUAUCAAAGUUAUCAUAGCUUUCAAUUUUAUUUUUAAUAUCAAGUUUUUUAUUUUUGUUUUUCCAAUAGAAAUAAUACUAAUUUUGAUUUGGUCCUUUUUCUUUUAGUUUUUUAAUUUUUUACUUUUCUCAAAGUUUUUAUGGUCUUUAAUUAUAUCCUUCAAAUCAAGUUUAUGUUUUUUUUUCAAUAAUAAUAAUAAUGUUAGAUCAUUCUAAAUAUUAAAAUAAAAAAUCAACCAUUAUUGUUUUCCUUUAUUAAAAUAAAAAUUCAAUAAUCAAAUAAUUAGUUUUCAACCAUUCUAUUUUAUCCUUUUUUAUUGAUUAAUUGCCAUAACCAAAUCAAUUAGCAUGAUCAAUUUUGAGUAUGUCUCUCUCUCCCGUGAUAAAUUAUUAGAUAAACUAAAACUAUUAAUUACUUAUAGACUGAAGUGAUAGUUUACGUGUAUAUUUCAGCAUAAAUAUUUAUGAACGGUUUGAUAGAUACCUAGUAAUUUAUCCUCUCAAAAAUGUAUAUGAACUCUCCUAUGUACAAAUACUAAUAUAAAAACCCAAAACUCAUUAUGUCUAAUUAAUAGUUUCAAAACAUUAAAAAAAAAAUGCUAACUCUUAUUUAUUUAUCCUCUUAAGAGUAUGUCUCUCUAAGGAGUGUUUCUUAUUUAUUUUGACUCUUUUAAGAUGGUGGUUUUCAUAUAAUAUUAUAUUUACCCAAGUGAUUUUUAAAAGUAUAUCCUAAUUUUUUUGAGAAAUUAAAUGCUAAUUCUUUUACAAUUUCAUGAUCAAAUUUUAAAUUCAAAAACUUAUAAUGUUAGAUAAAACUAAGGAUAUUAUCAAAUAGAACUUAAAAUGUUAGAUAAAAUUAAGGAUAUUAUCAAAUAGAAUUAAAUAAUAAAAUUUAAAUUCAUUAUUAUUUGGUUAAUAAAACAUUAAUAUUUUAUUAAAAAAUUAUUUUAAUCUAAACAUGAAAGCAUAUAAACAUUAUACUAAAGAUAUUAUCAAUAGGCAUGCACAAUUGCAAGACGAUUGAUGCGGGGAAUUUGGAUAUUACCUAAUUUUCCUGGCUUCGUUGGAUUUAAAAAUUAACAGAAAUAUAAAUAUAAUUAAAAAUGAUAAAGUGAUGUGCCUGUUAUGUUCAACUGGAUGCAUCUAAUCACGUGAACUGCCCAUAGAUAACGGCAGCAUAAUCAAUUAAUUAUCAAUAAAUUAGAUAUGCCGGUAGGAUAAAUUGAUUUUUAAUUUAUUUAUUUAAGAUUUAAUUUUUGAUGAAAUAAUCUCAGGCUAUCUUUAAAUAAAUUAGAAAAUAAACUAAUAGACAAAAUAUUAAUGGUCUAUCUUCUAAAAAAAUAGUACUCCAAAAAUUCAAAUGUGUGUAAGAUUUCAACAUCAAAACCUUUAAAAAUUUCAAACUUUCACACACUCAUCUUAAUUUUUUUAAUUAAAUUAAUUAAAAAAUACAAACAAAUGAUGUUUAAUUCGUUAUUAAAAUAUUAUUUUCAUACUAGAAAAUUAUAUAAACCCAAAUUUUGAAUUGUUGAAUGAUAUUUCAAAAGGAUUUUAUAUUAUUUUUUAAUAAUUAUUUUCAAAGAUCAAAUAUAAAAAUAUUAUAAUCAUGAGGGGUGUAACUCAACCAAUCAGGCUAUAGGUUUGUUCUUUUGAGGUCAACAAUUCAAGUCCCACAAAUCUCAGGAUUACUAGAGGCUCACUCGGUAAUUAACUUCAGAACCCGUGAGUUUAGUCAAGGUAUGUAUAAAUGGGCCCAAAUAACAACAUUAAUAAAAAAAUAUAUAAAAAAAUAUUACCAAGUGCGUCAUUGGGCAUUGAAAUACACAAUUUAAUAUUAAAAAAACGAAAAGAAAGGAAAAAUCCUUUUAAGGUAGAAGGCCAUGCACGUACGAUGAGUGUGUAUGGAAUAUUAACUACAAUAAUAUAAAAAAAAUGAUAAUUGCACAUAUAAUUGAAGAUUCCUGGGAUAUAUAAUACUCAUAUGGAUCUCGAGAAAAGAUUCACGAGAUCCUCGCCCUCCAUUACUGCCCAGCUUGACAUUAUUUAGUACUACAGUGAUGGUCCUAUAAUAAUAAAGUUACCCAGCUUUAGGUUGACAGAAAAUUUAUUAUAAUAGUAGUAAACAUCUCAAGCUAGCCGUUUUUAGAAUCUUUCCAUGUAAUAUACAAAAUAAAAUAAAAGGUCUUAAUAUCUUAUUUUUUAUUUUUAUUUUUAUUUUUUUGCUUAGAUUAGAAGCAAAAGAUCCUUUUCCAUCGGGAUGGAUCUUUGUAUGCAUUAGUGUACUUAGUUAAUUAUUACAUGUUUGUUUUUAUAUUUUAAAAAUAUUUAAAAUAUUUUAUUUUUUAUUUCAAAUUUUUUUUAACUCCAAGGACAAAUAUAUAAUUUUAUUAUUAAAAAACUUAUGCUAAAUAAAAAAAACCCCUUGGUAAAUAGUUAUGUAUUUGGUUGAUUUUAAAGGUAAAAUAAUAUUUUACUAUGAAAAAAAAAAGCAUUAACCUCUGCUCAAGAAGUUUAAUUUUUUGUUUUUGGUUGUUUUUGAGUUUUAAAAAACAUAUCCGAUGUAUUUGGUUGUUUUUGAGUUUUAAAUAAAAUACAUUUUAAAAAAACAACUCUUAUUACACUCUCUGGUAUACCUCUACUCUAUGUAUACCGAUUUGUUACUAGUCUUUUGUCAGGAGGGAGGCAAGAAAUGCAUCAAUGAUAGCACUCUUCAUGUAAGCUGCGGCAAUUCCAAAAUCAAGGUGGUAGCAUUUUUCUCUCUCACAAAUGGAGAUUGACAGGUUUGGGUAUAUAUGUAUUUGUUUUAUUAUUAUUAUUAAUUGAGUGUUGUUUUUAUCUCGUGUAAUCACAUAUGUUCAUAGAGACCUUAGCCCACUCUACCCGCAUUAUAGUCAAUGCAUAGGAUACUUUCUAAGUGGUCUGAGUAAAAGUAUAUAUACCACAUUCCUAGAAGACAACAAAAAAAUCAACGAGACUAGAAUCUCUUUGUAGUGCAUUUGGGAAGGGGGUGAGUCGAGAGGAAGGAAAGGGAGAUAAUAAGAAUGGGAAAUAAUUAAUUAGUUCACUCUUUUGGAAAAACCUUUUAAUGGGAAGAGGGGGGAUUUCUUUAGGCUUCACUCCCCUUGUUUUUUCUUAUAUUAAAAUGUAUAAAAAUAUUUAAAAAUAUAUUUUAAAUAAUUAAAUAUAAAAUCAUGUUUCGAGCCUUACUCCGAUAAAUUAACGAAGAAGAAUACAAUAAUUAAAAAACUUUGGCCCAAGAUUUACAAUUAUAAACUUUCAUGAAUGUAAUCUAAUAAUAAAAUUUAUCAUUCUCAUCCUUUGACAAAUGAAAUAAAAUUUAUAACUGAAAGACUAUUUUCUUCCCACCGUGGAUGAGAAUAACGUAUUAAAAGACAAUAAAUUAGAAAGAUUAGAUUAAAAUCGGAUAAGAUUGUCGUAUUGAAUUUUAAUUUUAAUUUUUUUAUUAAAUAAAUAACUCUAACGUAAAAUAUAUCUCUCAAAGAGAUUUAUACUAAAAAAUCAACCUAAAGAAAGUAAAAAAACCUGAAAAUUAAUACUCUUAAAAGUCCAAAACAAACUAAAAAAAAUUAUUAAUCACAAUAUUCGAAGCAAUAUUUUUCCCAUAAGACUUUCCAUUAUAAAUUUAUGAAGCCCUUGCGUCCAUUUCCUUCUACAGAAAGGUCUUGCAUAUUGUAGGAAAAAAAACAGAGCUAGGCCAGUAGAAGGCGCAGUAGCUAGUCACAAUCCUCUAAAAUACCAUGGCUGCUCCUCCACCUAACCCAGUCCCAGUGGCAUACCAAGGAGGCUUAGCUGCUUCAGUUCCUGACUGGUUAAACAAGGGCGAUAACGCAUGGCAAAUGAUCUCAGCCACCCUUGUUGGACUCCAGAGUGUGCCAGGACUUGUAAUUCUCUAUGGAAGCAUUGUCAAGAAAAAAUGGGCAGUCAAUUCAGCUUUCAUGGCCUUUUACGCUUUCGCAGCUGUUGUAAUCUGCUGGGUGGUUUGGGCCUACAAAAUGUCUUUUGGGGAUAGGCUCUUCCCCUUUUGGGGCAAAGCAGGACCUGCCUUGGCCCAGAAGUUUCUAAUCAAGCAAGCUGCACUCCCUGAGACCACACAGUCCUACGAUAACGGUGGUGUGGAGACUGCAAUGGCUACACCAUUUUAUCCCAUGGCUUCCAUGGUUUGGUUUCAGUGCGUGUUUGCUGCAAUCACUCUUAUUCUUUUGGCUGGAUCAGUGCUUGGAAGAAUGAAUUUUAAGGCUUGGAUGGCUUUUGUGCCACUUUGGCUCACUUUCUCUUACACUGUUGGUGCCUUCAGCUUGUGGGGUGGUGGAUUCUUGUUUCACUGGGGUGUCAUGGACUAUUCUGGUGGUUAUGUUAUUCAUCUUUCUUCAGGGAUCGCCGGCUUGACUACUGCCUUUUGGGUCAGUCCUCCUCCUCCUUCUUCUUCUUCUUCUUCUUCUUUGCCUCUGAAUUACAAGUCUUUGUGAGCUUGACGCUUUGAAAUGCAACUAGCUGCAUAACUUUGACUACUAAUCAUCAUGAAAUUAAUUUCUGCUACACUGGAAGAUAUUGCAGAGACCUUGUCUUGGUACAGAAACAUUAUAAUUUGUAGUGAAUAUUUCUAUGGAUCUUCAGUCCUUUGAAUUAAUUAGUUGUUUUAGUGAUUAAUUUAAGCAAAUUUUACUUACUAACCUGUUUUAAUUCUUAAAAUUUAUUUAGGGGUUACAUUUUCAAAAUUUUGAGACCAUAUAUAGAUGCAUGCUAGUUUUCCCCUUGAAUAUAAAAAAAGCCUUUUCUCUUCAUUUUCAGUAUUGAAACAUGAGAAAAUAUCUCUAAUAGUAGUAUAGUACUGCCCUUCCAUGAUUUUCUUUUCUUUUCUUUUUUUCUUAAAUCAUAUUUGCAUAUAAAGAAAAAACUAGAUUUUAGUGGAAUUUUCAACCUUUCUAAAAAAUAUAAAUAACAAAUUAAUUUUUAUUUAGCUAAUUCAUAUAGCUCAAGAAAGAGCUAGCUCUCUCAUAAAUUAUUUCUUACCGAUAUUAAUUUAGUAUUAAGAUAGUAGUUAUUUUUAAAGUGUAAAUAACAUUUGUUUUUAUUUUUUAAAAUUUAUUUUUUACAUCAACACAUUAAAAUAUUUAUAAACAUAAAAAAUAUUAAUUUAAAAUUAAAAAAAAAAAAAAUUUUAGAAUCACCUUUAAAAUACAAUAACAAACCAACUCUUAAUUAGUUUUUACCCAUGACAAGAAAUGAAUCACUAGUAUAACAAAUAAUUUUAGAAUUGAUAUUUUUGUCAGAUUAUUGGAGCUGACUAAGAACAAGAACGUAAUAGUUUUGUUUUGUUCUUAAGAUUUCUUCCAUGACGUGAGGAGAGAAUCUUUCAAAAGAUUGGUGGUGAGAAAUUUCUCAAGUUAACUGAUGCAGGUAGGUCCAAGAUCAUCAAAGGAUAGAGAGAGAUUUCCACCGAACAAUGUACUGCUAAUGUUAGCAGGGGCAGGGCUGCUGUGGAUGGGAUGGGCUGGCUUCAACGGCGGAGAUCCAUACACUGCCAAUAUUGACUCUUCCAUGGCCGUUCUUAACACUAACAUUUGCGCAGCUACUAGCCUUCUUGUAUGGACCUGGCUAGAUGUCAUUUUCUUCAAGAAACCUUCUGUCAUCGGUGCUGUUCAGGGCAUGAUAACUGGCCUUGUUUGCAUUACUCCUGGUGCAGGUAAUUUCGACUUCCCUCGCCGUGUUAUGUUUGCUCUCGGUCCAAUCACCGUGCAUGUAUUUUGACUAUUGAGAUUUUUAUUGGUCUUGGAGCUAGAAUUAAGCAUUUAAUAAUCUUUUUCUUGAAAAAUCAAACUACCUAAAACAUUAAAUAGUGUGGUUGUUUUGCUGGAGUUCAAUCUACAAUAAAAUAUAUCUUCGCCUGCAGUAAAAUUAUCCUUGCAUCCUUUGGUCCAAAACAAUUAAGCUUCUUGGUGGGGGCAAUGAUACUUUUUUUUUCAUAAUAAAAAUAUUAUUUGGUCUCUAAAAUCAACAAAAUAUAAAAUUAUUUACUAAUAAUUUUCUUAACUUAGCAAAAGCUUCUUAACAAUAAAAUAUAUAUUUACCUCCGGGAUCAAAAAAAUAUUGUGUUGUUAGAUAAAAGUAUUUUGAGGUUUUCAAUUUUAAAUGUACAGUGAAAUUACAUCUUUAACUUUGAAAGAGACAAAACAUAAGCUUAGCAUUUAUGGGUAUUUUGUACUUCCACAUAUGUAUUUUGUGUAAUUGUCGAGGUCGUGGGGGCAUUUCAGUAUUUUCAUAAUUUUUUCAAAUUUUGUAAUGCUUAAAGCUGCUGGAGCGUGCUCGACAUGUUCUGGCGCGUGGGUGGCAUCCACACCAUUCAGGCGGUGCGUGUAACGCUACCCAGUGGACAUAACUGACCUUUUAUCAUCUCUCUAAAUGCGUCAUCAUAUUCUUUUCCAUUUGGAGUGGUGUGUGGUAGCUUACGAUGGUCGAAUUGUCACUAAUGAUCGUUUGAUUUUUCUCUCUCUCUUGGCAUGUAAAGUACUUCAUUGUCCUUUUUUUCUUACUUUUUAAUUUCAGCCUUCAUUCUAUUAAUUUCUUAUUUCAUUCCUUUUUCAUUUAUAGAAGUUUAUAUUCUUUUUAAUUUAGUCUUUUAAUUGCAAUUUCUCAUAUGUUCUGUUUUUUAUUCCAGUCCUCAUUUUUUUUUUAAUUUCUAAUUGUGUCAUUAACACUUUUGUUGAAGUUCUUUUUCAUUCAAUUUCAUUAUUCAAUCAAAUUUUUUAUUGUUUUAAUUUUUUCAGUUUGACUCUUAUUCUUUUUAUUUUUUUAUUUUAUUAAAGCUAUUUUUCAAUUCAAUUAAACCCUCCAAUUGAAAAUUUUUAUCCCUCUAAUUAAUGUUUUUUCUUACCCUUAUUUUUUUAAUCCUUUUGUAUAAUUAUUUUUUUCAUGAUUUCAUUUUUCAACAUUUAAUUUGUUGGGAAUUUAGCUUUAUAUGAUCUUAUUGUUCAAUAUUAGUUUUUUUUUUAAUAUUAGUUAUGUAAUUAUCUUCAAGUUUUUUCUAUGGGUUUAUCCGGAUCUAAUGAUCUAGGUCAUGAUUUUUACAUGUCUUUUUUAAUAUAAGUUUUUUUAGGUGUUUUGUUUCUAUUUCAUUUUUCAAAAUAUUAUUCUAAUUCAUCUAUAAUUUUUUUUACAGAUGAAGUUUAUUUUUUAAAAUAAAAAAUAUUCGUUUUUAAAUUGUAUUGCUAAUGUGUUUGCCUUGCAUAAUAUUUUUUAUAUCGUAGGUUUAUUCAGUCAAUUUCAUUUGUAUUUAUCUUUUUAUUCAUGAAUUUUUUAGAGUGUGGAUUUAUCUUUAGUUAUUUAAAUAAAUAAGUUCAGUAAAUACAAUUAAAUGCAUGUCUCAUAGAAUAUCUUGAUCUUGCUUACUUAGACUUUUUAAUUUACACUUUAAAUUUUUUUAUAUAAAAAAACACAUUAAAACAACUUGUAUACCUAAUAUUUUUUUUAAAAAAAAAGUAUAACCCACAACAAAGCGUGUGUUAAAUGAGUAGUUCUCACUAACUAGUAUCAGUUGACUUUUCCAUCUCUGUUCCUAAUUGCCAUAGCAAACUUGUUCAUAAAUUAUUUAACUUAAAGAAUUAUUUCAUAAGUUCUAAUUUGUUCGUUCAUAACUUUCAUUCAUUGGCAUUGGAAGGAAACAUGAAAAAGGAAGAGCUAGCUCAAGGAUUAAUUUAGUUCAAUAGACUUUAAAAAUAAAAGAUUAGGGAGGGAAUACUGUUCACGUGGGAUCCAACCAUGUAGAACGAUAUUUUGGUAAAGAAAGUUGAAGAAAAAAUUAAUCAUUUUCCUAAAGCUUAGAUUUCAAUAUAAAUUUGAUGAGGUACAACAUAUAUAGGAUAAUCCAACUUAUCAAAAGUUGAAGACAAAGCUACUAAAAUUGCAUUUCUUCGGGGCUUGUUUGUUAUUGUGAUUUUUUUCAUAGUAUUUUUUACUUAAAAAUAUAUUAAAAUAAUGUUUUUAUUUUUUAAAAUUCAUUUUGAUUUUUGAUAUAAAUAUAUCAAAAUGAUCUAAAAACACUAAAAAAUAUUAAUUUUAAAUUAAAAAAAUAUUUUUUUUCAAAAACAUUUUAAUUUAAAACACAAAAAUAAAUAGGUUUUGUAUAUUAGAUUUGAAGAUGAAAAUAUCAUCUUUUGGAGAUAGAUGAUAUUUGAAGUUUAAAAGUUUCUUAAAUAUUUUUUAUGUAGACUACUUUUAAAAAAUAUUUAUUAAUUAAAAAUAUAUCAAAAUAAUAAUUUUUAUAUUUUAUUUUUAUUUUUAACAAUAACAUAUCAAAAUAAUCAAAAAAUUAUUUAAAAAAUUAAUUUAAUAUUAUUUUAAAUAAAACAUUAUUUUAAAAAGUAAAUACUACCAUAGAGUGCCAAGGAAAGUGAAAGAUAUAUUAAGUACCAUGUAGCUUAGUCAAGAGGUUUAGGAGCUUAUAGAGAUCACAUAACUCAUUUGUUCCAAUCAUAAAAAAUUAAUUUAAUAUGAUUAUUGAUGAUAUUGCUAUAAAUUUGCACCUGACUAACCAUUUCAAAGUAUUGUUUCACCUUAAACUCAAUGAAAUUAUGGUGCUUGAAGCUUACAAACUUUCUAAAUCUUUUCCUUUCAAUCCAUAUAAGAUAUUAAACAUCUCCGUGGUGUUGGGAAUACCGAAGCUUCGAUGCCACUUUAUUAGUAACUUCAAAGUUCUAAUACCAUAGACAAUCCUAUUGAUUUUUGCCCAGAAACUAAGCACAAAAAAUUUAAUAUGUUCAGUAAUUUGCUUAUAUCCAUGAAAUAGACAGUAUUAAUGAACAGGAGAAACACCACAAUUUACAAUAAUAAUGGAGGACAAAGACCAAACCUCAUACCCACACUCUCUUGCAAGUGUCUCGUCUUUCUCUAUCACCCACAUUUUACCAGCCUACACAAGCUGCUGCUCAUUACAGCUCGUGUCGCUGCCACAAUGGCAGAACCUCUCUCUCUCUCUCUCUCUCUGUUUGGCUCUCGUUGAUACGUAUGCUUCUGCUCUCAACACAACCUUUUAUAGGCUUUUCAAAUGGCAGCUAGAAUUCAACAAAGGUAGGCUGUAUUAUUUCUUCAUUAAUGCGCCGAAUCGUGGUGAGCUCCAACUCACUCUUCAACUUUUAGUGGCCAUAAUUAUUGCCACGUUUUUGCCCAUUUCUUUUGUCAAAGUUAGGUAACAUUCAGUGCAUAAUUCUUCUUUUAGUCAAAAUAUGCAGCUCCCUCUUAAGACUGGGAUCGUUUGCAAACAGGGCCUAAAUGCUAUUCGGCAAAAUUUUGAAUUUUUUAUUUAAAACCCACCAAAUUUAAGAUGGAUGAAAAGUUUAUAAACUGGGCCAAGUUAGGCUAAAUUUUCAAUGACUGUGCUAUAUCUUGAUCUGAAAUCCAUCGGCCUCAAAACUGAGGCCUUCAUCAUAGGGGCUUGAUACUGAAGUUCAAAUUAGAAAUGGUAUUCUUUUCUUAGACGUUUUGCUACGGAUUUUUGUAGCACUAAAAUCCUAUGUUGUAAAACUACAAUCCGCCUGCCAGUUAGAUUUGAGACAUGGUAGAUUUGGAGUUUUAAUUGAUUUGAAUUGGAAAAAAAAAAGAGUAUGGAAAAAAUUACUGGUUAUUCGUAAAAUAAGGUUGAUUUGGAGUUUCUAUAAUGAUAUAUUUUUCAGGUCUUGUUCAAGGAUGGGCUGCCAUAAUCAUGGGAAUUUUAUCUGGUAGUGUUCCAUGGUUUACCAUGAUGAUUGUUCACAAAAGAUGGACACUACUGCAAAAAAUUGAUGACACACUAGGAGUGUUUCACACCCAUGCUGUUGCUGGCCUUCUAGGGGGUGUUCUAACAGGCCUCUUUGCAGAACCUGAGCUCUGUGCACUAUUUUUGCCGGUGACAAACUCAAGGGGCGGUGUCUAUGGUGGUUCCGGUGGAAUCCAAAUACUCAAACAACUAGUUGGCGGUGCUUUCAUUAUUGGAUGGAACGUUGUCGUUACAUCAAUUAUUUGUGUAGUG
rnacentral:lncRNA from 1 species